rnacentral:rRNA from 1 species
CCUACGGGGUGCAGCAGUAGGGAAUAUUGCUCAAUGGGGGAAACCCUGAAGCAGCAACGCCGCGUGGAGGAUGAAGGUUUUCGGAUUGUAAACUCCUUUUGUUAGAGAAGAUAAUGACGGUAUCUAACGAAUAAGCACCGGCUAACUCCGUGCCAGCAGCCGCGGUAAUACGGAGGGUGCAAGCGUUACUCGGAAUCACUGGGCGUAAAGCGCGCGUAGGCGGGAUAGCAAGGCAGAUGUGAAAUCCUAUGGCUUAACCAUAGAACUGCAUUUGAAACUGUUAUUCUAGAGUAUGGGAGAGGUAGGUGGAAUUCUUGGUGUAGGGGUAAAAUCCGUAGAGAUCAAGAGGAAUACUCAUUGCGAAGGCGACCUGCUAGAACAUAACUGACGCUGAUGCGCGAAAGCGUGGGGAGCAAACAGGAUUAGAUACCCUUGUAGUC